UACGGGGCGCAACUGAUGGGAAUUUGGACAAUGGGGAAACCUGAUCCAGCCAUCCGCGUGCGAUGAAGGCCUUGGUUGUAAACACUUUUGGCAGGAAAAACAGCACGGAUAAUACUAUGCAACUGAGCGAUACCUGCAGAAUAAGCACCGGCUAACUACGUGCCAGCAACCGCGGUAAUACGUAGGGUGCAAGCGUUAAUCAGAAUUACUGGGCGUAAAGCGUGCGCAGGCGGUUCGGAAAGAAAGAUGUGAAAUCCCGGAAGCAACUUUGGAACUGCAUUUUAACUACCGAGCUAGAGUGUGUCAGAGGGAGGUGGAAUUCGCAAUGUAGCAGUGAAAUGCGUAGAUAUGCGGAGGAACACCGAUGGCGAAGGCGGCCUCCUGAAAUAACACUGACGCUCGUACAACGUGGGAGCAAACAGGAUUAGAUACCCUCGUAGU
rnacentral:misc_RNA from 1 species